rnacentral:tRNA from 2 species
GCGAAGGUGGCGGAAUUGGUAGACGCGCUAGCUUCAAGUGUUAGUGUUCUUACGGACGUGGGGGUUCAAGUCCCCCCCCUCGCACCA